rnacentral:rRNA from 1 species
CGAAAGGAACGCUAAUACCGCAUACGUCCUACGGGAGAAAGCAGGGGACCGUUCGGGCCUUGCGCUAUCAGAUGAGCCUAGGUCGGAUUAGCUAGUUGGUGAGGUAAUGGCUCACCAAGGCGACGAUCCGUAACUGGUCUGAGAGGAUGAUCAGUCACACUGGAACUGAGACACGGUCCAGACUCCUACGGGAGGCAGCAGAC